GCCAGACUCCUACGGGAGGCAGCAGUGGGGAAUAUUGCACAAUGGGGGAAACCCUGAUGCAGCGACGCCGCGUGAGUGAAGAGGUAUUUCGGUAUGUAAAGCUCUCUCAGCAGGGAAGAAAAUGACGGUACCUGACCAAGAAGCCCCGGCUAACUACGUGCCAGCAGCCGCGGUAAUACGUAGGGGGCAAGCGUUAUCCGGAUUUACUGGGUGUAAAGGGAGCGUAGACGGCUGUGCAAGUCAGAAGUGAAAGCCCGGGGCUCAACCCCGGGACUGCUUUUGAAACUGCGUGGCUGGAGUGCAGGAGAGGUAAGCGGAAUUCCUGGUGUAGCGGUGAAAUGCGUAGAUAUCAGGAGGAACACCAGUGGCGAAGGCGGCUUACUGGACUGUAACUGACGUUGAGGCUCGAAAGCGUGGGGAGCAAACAGGAUUAGAUACCCUAGUA
rnacentral:rRNA from 1 species